AGCAGCCGCGGUAAUUCCAGCCCCAAUAGCGUAUAUUAAAGUUGUUGCAGUUAAAAAGCUCGUAGUUGAAUUUCGGGAUUAAUAUGUUGGUCGUGCCUUGGUACGUACUGGCAUUAUUGAUUCCUACCUUCUGAAGAACCUCGAUGUCAUUAAUUUGGUGUCUUGGGGAAUCAGGACCGUUACUUUGAAAAAAUUAGAGUGUUUAAAGCAGGCUCGCGCUUGAAUACAUUAGCAUGGAAUAAUGAAAUAGGACGUUUGAUUCUAUUUUGUUGGUUUCUAGGAUCGACGUAAUGAUUAAUAGGGAUAGUUGGGGGCAUUAGUAUUCAAUUGUCAGAGGUGAAAUUCUUGGAUUUAUUGAAGACUGACUACUGCGAAAGCAUUUGCCAAGGAUGGUUUCAUUAAUCAAGAACGAAAGUUAGGGAUCGAAGACGAUCAGAUACCGUCGUAGUCUUAACCAUAAACUAUGCCGACUAGGGAUCGGAUGAUGUAAUUUUUAAUGACUUCAUUCGGNGCCUUACGG
rnacentral:rRNA from 1 species